rnacentral:rRNA from 1 species
UACGUAGGGUGCAAGCGUUGUCCGGAAUUAUUGGGCGUAAAGAGCUCGUAGGCGGCUUGUCGCGUCGACUGUGAAAACCCGUGGCUCAACCAUGUGGUCUGCAGUCGAUACGGGCAGGCUAGAAUUCGGUAGGGGAGACUGGAAUUCCUGGUGUAGCGGUGAAAUGCGCAGAUAUCAGGAAGAACACCCGUGGCUAAGGCGGCUCUCUAGUACGGUACUGACGCUGAGACGCGAAAGCGUGGGGAGCGAACAGG